UUCCGUGAGGCUGAAAAAAUUGCCAAGGAACUAAAACGCAAACCUGGCAAUCAAAAAGCACCCUGAAGCAGUACAACAAAAACAAAAAGUAAUUUGACUAACCCUUUGCCUCCGGUUGUCCUUUUGUUCCUGAGUCAUCUGACCCUCAAAUACUGCUUUGCUUUCCCAGCUGCUUCCUUGUUUCAGUGUACCUCUCUAAUGCUGGUGGCAAUUCUACCCAACCCUGUGUACUCUGUAUUAUCGUUCUGAUGCCAAAUGAAGAUACAACUGAAAACACAUGACACUUGUUGAUGACGCUUGUUGUGUUGAUUGUGAUGUUCAGUAUUUGAGUGUAAAGUGAACUGAGCCGUUGUAAAUAAGAUGCCCUUCUAAAUGUUGUUCUCGUGUAUAUUUGAGUCUUGUGCUUCAAUAAAGGUCUAUGUGAAAG
rnacentral:lncRNA from 1 species